rnacentral:rRNA from 1 species
AUUGAACGCUGGCGGCAUGCUUUACACAUGCAAGUCGAACGGCAGCACGGGUGCUUGCACCUGGUGGCGAGUGGCGAACGGGUGAGUAAUGCAUCGGAACGUGCCCAUGAGUGGGGGAUAGCCUGGCGAAAGCCGGAUUAAUACCGCAUACGCCCUUAGGGGGAAAGCGGGGGAUCUUCGGACCUCGCGCUAUUGGAGCGGCCGAUGUCGGAUUAGCUAGUAGGUGAGGUAAAGGCUCACCUAGGCGACGAUCCGUAGCUGGUCUGAGAGGAUGAUCAGCCACACUGGGACUGAGACACGGCCCAGACUCCUACGGGAGGCAGCAGUGGGGAAUUUUGGACAAUGGGCGCAAGCCUGAUCCAGCCAUGCCGCGUGAGUGAAGAAGGCCUCGGUUGUAAGUACGUC